UACGUAGGGUGCAGGCGUUAAUCGGAAUUACUGGGCGUAAAGCGUGCGCAGGCGGUUUCUUAAGUCAGAUGUGAAAGCCCCGGGCUUAACCUGGGAACUGCGUUUGAAACUGGGAGACUUGAGUGUGGCAGAGGGGGGUGGAAUUCCACGUGUAGCAGUGAAAUGCGUAGAGAUGUGGAGGAACACCGAUGGCGAAGGCAGCCCCCUGGGCCAACACUGACGCUCAGGCACGAAAGCGUGGGUAGCAAACAGG
rnacentral:rRNA from 1 species